CUACGUGCCAGCAGCCGCGGUAAUACAUAGGUCGCAAGCGUUAUCCGGAAUUAUUGGGCGUAAAGCGUUCGUAGGCUGUUUAUUAAGUCUGGAGUCAAAUCCCAGGGCUCAACCCUGGCUCGCUUUGGAUACUGGUAAACUAGAGUUGGAUAGAGGUAAGCGGAAUUCCAUGUGAAGCGGUGAAAUGCGUAGAUAUAUGGAAGAACACCAAAGGCGAAGGCAGCUUACUGGGUYUAUACUGACGCUGAGGGACGAAAGCGUGGGGAGCAAACAGGAUUAGAUACCCUGGUAGUCCACGCCGUAAACGAUGAUCAUUAGUCGGUGGGAGCCACUGACGCAGCUAACGCAUUAAAUGAUCCGCCUGAGUAGUAUGCUCGCAAGAGUGAAACUUAAAGGAAUUGACGGGGACCCGCACAAGCGGUGGAGCAUGUGGUUUAAUUUGAGGAUACGCGGAGAACCUUACCCACUCUUGACAUCCUUUGCAAAGCUAUAGAGAUA
rnacentral:rRNA from 1 species